rnacentral:rRNA from 1 species
UACGUAGGGUGCAAGCGUUGUCCGGAAUUAUUGGGCGUAAAGAGCUCGUAGGCGGUUUGUCGCGUCGAAUGUGAAAACCCGGGGCUCAACCCCGGGCCUGCAUUCGAUACGGGCAGACUAGAGUUCGGUAGGGGAGUCUGGAAUUCCUGGUGUAGCGGUGAAAUGCGCAGAUAUCGGGAGGAACACCAGUAGCGAAGGCGGCACUCUGGGCCGGUACUGACGCUGAGGAGCGAAAGCGUGGGGAGCGAACAGG